rnacentral:rRNA from 1 species
AACCUCCGCAAUGUGAGAAAUCGCGACGGGGGGAUCCCAAGUGCCAUUCUUAACGGGAUGGCUUUUCUUAAGUGUAAAAAGCUUUUGGAAUAAGAGCUGGGCAAGACCGGUGCCAGCCGCCGCGGUAACACCGGCAGCUCUAGUGGUAGCUGUUUUUAUUGGGCCUAAAGCGUUCGUAGCCGGUUUGAUAAGUCACUGGUGAAAUCCUGUAGCUUAACUGUGGGAAUUGCUGGUGAUACUGUUGAACUUGAGGUCGGGAGAGGUUAGCGGUACUCCCAGGGUAGAGGUGAAAUUCUGUAAUCCUGGGAGGACCACCUGCGGCGAAGGCGACUAACUGGAACGAACCUGACGGUGAGGGACGAAAGCUAGGGGCGCGAACCGGAUUAGAUACCCGGGUAGUCCUAACUGUAAACGAUGCGGACUUGGUGUUGGGGUGGCUUUGAGCUGCUUCAGUGCCGAAGGGAAGCUGUUAAGUCCGCCGCCUGGGAAGUACGGUCGCAAGACUGAAACUUAAAGGAAUU